CGAACGAUGAACCGCUUUCGGGCGGGGAUUAGUGGCGAACGGGUGAGUAACACGUGGGCAAUCUGCCCUGCACUCUGGGACAAGCCCUGGAAACGGGGUCUAAUACCGGAUAUGACCGUCUGCCGCAUGGUGGAUGGUGUAAAGCUCCGGCGGUGCAGGAUGAGCCCGCGGCCUAUCAGCUUGUUGGUGAGGUAGUGGCUCACCAAGGCGACGACGGGUAGCCGGCCUGAGAGGGCGACCGGCCACACUGGGACUGAGACACGGCCCAGACUCCUACGGGAGGCAGCAGUGGGGAAUAUUGCACAAUGGGCGAAAGCCUGAUGCAGCGACGCCGCGUGAGGGAUGACGGCCUUCGGGUUGUAAACCUCUUUCAGCAGGGAAGAAGCGAAAGUGACGGUACCUGCAGAAGAAGCGCCGGCUAACUACGUGCCAGCAGCCGCGGUAAUACGUAGGGCGCAAGCGUUGUCCGGAAUUAUUGGGCGUAAAGAGCUCGUAGGCGGCUUGUCACGUCGGUUGUGAAAGCCCGGGGCUUAACCCCGGGUCUGCAGUCGAUACGGGCAGGCUAGAGUUCGGUAGGGGAGAUCGGAAUUCCUGGUGUAGCGGUGAAAUGCGCAGAUAUCAGGAGGAACACCGGUGGCGAAGGCGGAUCUCUGGGCCGAUACUGACGCUGAGGAGCGAAAGCGUGGGGAGCGACAGGAUUAGAUACCUGGUAGUCACGCCGUAAACGGUGGGCACUAGGUGUGGGCAACAUUCCACGUUGUCCGUGCCGCAGCUAACGCAUUAAGUGCCCCGCCUGGGGAGUACGGCCGCAAGGCUAAAACUCAAAGGAAUGACGGGGGCCCGCACAAGCGGCGGAGCAUGUGGCUUAAUCGACGCAACGCGAAGAACCUUACCAAGGCUUGACAUACACCGGAAACGUCUGGAGACAGGCGCCCCCUUGUGGUCGGUGUACAGGUGGUGCAUGGCUGUCGUCAGCUCGUGUCGUGAGAUGUUGGGUUAAGUCCCGCAACGAGCGCAACCCUUGUCCCGUGUUGCCAGCAGGCCCUUGUGGUGCUGGGGACUCACGGGAGACCGCCGGGGUCAACUCGGAGGAAGGUGGGGACGACGUCAAGUCAUCAUGCCCCUUAUGUCUUGGGCUGCACACGUGCUACAAUGGCCGGUACAAUGAGCUGCGAUACCGUGAGGUGGAGCGAAUCUCAAAAAGCCGGUCUCAGUUCGGAUUGGGGUCUGCAACUCGACCCCAUGAAGUCGGAGUCGCUAGUAAUCGCAGAUCAGCAUUGCUGCGGUGAAUACGUUCCCGGGCCUUGUACACACCGCCCGUCACGUCACGAAAGUCGGUAACACACCGAAGCCGGUGGCCCAACCCC
rnacentral:rRNA from 1 species